GGCCGUCUAGCUCAGUUGGUUAGAGCGUCGUGCUAAUAUGAUCAAGAUCCUUGGAAAGUAUUACGCGAAGGUCUUGGGUUCGACCCCCACGAUGGCCA